UCAGCAGUCGUCUAUGCGGUAAAGUGUGGUUGGCACCACCCUCUGCCCAGGUGCCCACUUGGACAUCCUCCAAAACCUGGUGGCUAAUACACNCAUGCUCCGGUCUACCACGUUGAACAAACUGUCGGCAACUCUGCUGUCACUCUGUGCGGUGGAUUGCGCCCAGCCGUUGUGAAGACCAGCGCCUGGAAAUGGCAGUGUUCUCAUGGCUGACUCAGGCUGGUGGCCUCUUUCUUGGGGAGGACGAUUGCCCUGGCAGAGUGGUGGCCUAAUUGUGCCACAGCAUCCGCUUGACCGCACGAACUUCUGACCUAUCAGCUUGGACUGUGGUGUAGUGGACCACAGUGGCGGCCACGGGUAACGGAGAAUCAGGGUUCGAUUCCGGAGAGGGAGCCUGAGAGACGGCUACCACUACCAAGGUGGGCAGCAGGCGCGCAAAUUGCCCAAUGCUGAGACAUCUGGCGAGGCAGCAACGAACCGCAGCAAUUCNGCCUGUCCUCUGUGACCGGUGGAACUUGUAAUGGAUGCUAUCCAAACACAGUGAUGAGAAUCAACUGGAGGGCAAGUCUGGUGCCAGCAGCUGCGGUAAUUCCAGCUCCAAGUGCGUAUACUGACAUUGCUGCUGUUAAAACACUUGUAGUCUGCCUCUGGGUGCAGGUCUGUCAGGUGGCCUGGUGGGGUGUUGUCUGGCUUUGCAAUGGCCCUCGGGCCUUGUGGGGCUGGGUGGCAUUUCGCUGGGAUCCAACCCCUGGCGGUAUGUUCCUGUACCCGCCUUUCCGAUGGUGGUUUAUUGGCUCCUGCUCCAAAGCCUCCUUCAGUGGGGGCCCAGGGCGGCAUCGUGCCGGAAGCACACGUGGGCAACCAUUGGGCGUUCCUCCCCGCGAGGCCAUCCCAAGCCCGCCUUCGGAGUCCACCAUCGCCGCCACCGUGGAAAACUCAGUGUGCCCCAAGCAGCCAUUCUUGGCUGAAUGUCUGUCCAUGGAAUGUCCAAGCAUCGACCUACUGGGCCAUUCGGAGUUGUGCUGGCCUUGGUGCCCAAUUCAGGGGAAUGUGGUGCUGUCCCUGCUCUGGCUCUGUUGGGGGUGCCAACCCGUCAUCCCCAGCAUCCGGUUGCCAGUGGGCAUGCAUUUAUCGGACAUGAUGGGACUGCCCAGGGUGCAAGAUACUGCAACGCCAGAGGUGAAAUUCUUAGACCGUUGCAUGAUCAACUGCAGCGAAGGCGUUGUGCAUUGGCCUGUCCGUCGAUCAAGAAUGAGAGUGUGGGGAGCAAAGAUGAUCAGACACCGUCGUAGUCCACGACUGUAAACCAUGCCAGCUUGGCAUUGAGGGUGCAAGUACACGGACACCCCCAGUGCCAUGCCCCCUACAACGAGAAAUCCAAGCCUUUGGGUUCAGGGGGAAGUACCGUCGCAAGGCUGAAACUUAAAGGAAUUGACGGAAUGGCACCACAAGGCGUGGAGUAUGCGGCUUAAGUUGACUCAACACGGGGAAUGUUACCAGGUCAGGACGUUGCUGGGAUGGACAGACUGAGAGCUCUUUCUUGAUCCCUUGGAUGGUGGUGCAUGGCCGCUCCUGAUUGGUGGAGUGAUUUGUCUGGUUGAUUCCGAUAACGAGUGAGACAUCUGCCUCCCACUAGCCCCUGGCUCGCAUUUGUAGGGCGGCUUGGCUGUUCCCCCUGGGUUCCCCUCUGGGCGGUUCGCCGUUCAGGGAUGUGGCCCUGGGGGACGCCAGUUGUUCGCCCGAGAGCCGCUGGGUUCAGCUUCUCUGAGGUGCUGCGCACGCCACCAAGUGCCCGCAUGCUAGAGCCAACAGCAGGUCUGUGAUGCUCCCAGAUGUCCUGGGCCGCACGCGCACUACAUUGACGCAGUGAAUGAGUUCCGCUCGCCUUGUCGAGACCCACCUGGAAGUUGGUGGGAAACCACGGGAGCCUGUGCUGUACUGGGGAUAGAUGAUUGCAACUGUCUGCCUUGAACGAGGAAUGCCUAGUAUGCGCAGGUCAUCA
rnacentral:rRNA from 1 species